rnacentral:tRNA from 1 species
CCGACCUUAGCUCAGUUGGUAGAGCGGACUGUAGAUCCUUAGGUCGCUGGUUCGAAUCCGGCAGGUCGGA